GACGAACGCUGGCGGCGUGCCUAAUACAUGCAAGUAGAACGCUGAAGAGAGGAGCUUGCUCUUCUUGGAUGAGUUGCGAAUGGGUGAGUAACGCGUAGGUAACCUGCCUUGUAGCGGGGGAUAACUAUUGGAAACGAUAGCUAAUACCGCAUAACAAUGGAUGACACAUGUCAUUUAUUUGAAAGGGGCAAUUGCUCCACUACAAGAUGGACCUGCGUUGUAGUAGCUAGUAGGUGAGGUAACGGCUCACCUAGGCGACGAUACAUAGCCGACCUGAGAGGGUGAUCGGCCACACUGGGACUGAGACACGGCCCAGACUCCUACGGGAGGCAGCAGUAGGGAAUCUUCGGCAAUGGGGGCAACCCUGACCGAGCAACGCCGCGUGAGUGAAGAAGGUUUUCGGAUCGUAAAGCUCUGUUGUAAGUCAAGAACGAGUGUGAGAGUGGAAAGUUCACACUGUGACGGUAGCUUACCAGAAAGGGACGGCUAACUACGUGCCAGCAGCCGCGGUAAUACGUAGGUCCCGAGCGUUGUCCGGAUUUAUUGGGCGUAAAGCGAGCGCAGGCGGUUUGAUAAGUCUGAAGUUAAAGGCUGUGGCUCAACCAUAGUUCGCUUUGGAAACUGUCAAACUUGAGUGCAGAAGGGGAGAGUGGAAUUCCAUGUGUAGCGGUGAAAUGCGUAGAUAUAUGGAGGAACACCGGUGGCGAAAGCGGCUCUCUGGUCUGUAACUGACGCUGAGGCUCGAAAGCGUGGGGAGCGAACAGGAUUAGAUACCCUGGUAGUCCACGCCGUAAACGAUGAGUGCUAGGUGUUGGAUCCUUUCCGGGAUUCAGUGCCGCAGCUAACGCAUUAAGCACUCCGCCUGGGGAGUACGACCGCAAGGUUGAAACUCAAAGGAAUUGACGGGGGCCCGCACAAGCGGUGGAGCAUGUGGUUUAGUUCGAAGCAACGCGAAGAACCUUACCAGGUCUUGACAUCCCGAUGCUAUUUCUAGAGAUAGAAAGUUACUUCGGUACAUCGGUGACAGGUGGUGCAUGGUUGUCGUCAGCUCGUGUCGUGAGAUGUUGGGUUAAGUCCCGCAACGAGCGCAACCCCUAUUGUUAGUUGCCAUCAUUCAGUUGGGCACUCUAGCGAGACUGCCGGUAAUAAACCGGAGGAAGGUGGGGAUGACGUCAAAUCAUCAUGCCCCUUAUGACCUGGGCUACACACGUGCUACAAUGGUUGGUACAACGAGUUGCGAGUCGGUGACGGCAAGCUAAUCUCUUAAAGCCAAUCUCAGUUCGGAUUGUAGGCUGCAACUCGCCUACAUGAAGUCGGAAUCGCUAGUAAUCGCGGAUCAGCACGCCGCGGUGAAUACGUUCCCGGGCCU
rnacentral:rRNA from 1 species